rnacentral:rRNA from 1 species
ACACGACUACAUUAGAUACCCGUGUAGUCCUAGCCGUAAACGAUACUCGCUAGGUGUCGGCCACGGUGCGACCGUUGUCGGUGCCGUAGGGAAGCUGUGAAGCGAGCCACCUGGGAAGUACGGCCGCAAGGCUGAAACUUAAAGGAAUUGGCGGGGGAGCACAACAACGGGUGGAGCUUGCGGUUUAAUUGGAUUCAACGCCGGAAAUCUUACCGGGACCGACAGCAACAUGAAGGCCAAGCUGAAGACUUUGCCGGAUUAGCUG